rnacentral:rRNA from 1 species
UACGAAGGGGGCUAGCGUUGUUCGGAUUUACUGGGCGUAAAGGGCGCGCAGGCGGCUCAUUUUGUCAGGCGUGAAAGCCCCGGGCUUAACCUGGGAACUGCGUUUGAUACGGAUGGGCUAGAGUUCGGGAGAGGAGAGUGGAAUUCCCAGUGUAGAGGUGAAAUUCGUAGAUAUUGGGAAGAACACCGGUGGCGAAGGCGGGUCUCUGGGCCGAUACUGACGCUGAGGAGCGAAAGCGUGGGGAGCGAACAGG